CUGGGCUGGAGGAAGGGACCUCGUGGGGCGGUGCGCGACGACCGGCUUGUUUCCGGGAAGCCGUUUGCGCGCACAUGCGUGUCUGUCCCUGAUUGUCUGUGACUGUUUCGGGGCCACAGGGACAGUGUUGCGUGGUUGUAGCCCGGACCACAGGGUCCUCAAAGCUGAAAAUACUACCGGAUCUCGCUUCCUGAUCCCCAAUGUCGUGCAUAAAAAUUAACACGAAACUAUGCCCUCAUGUAUUUCCGCAGGGGAAACGUCUUUCCUUGCUUGCCUGCUUGAUGGGUGGAGUUCAGACCCUGGCCUGAACCUGGGUGUCGCAUUCAUUUGCCCGGUGGCCAGGAAAGCCCAGAAACAUGGGAGACAUCUCCAUGGUAACAGCCGAGCCUGCCUGGGUUGCUAAGCAACGGAAGAGAAAGGAGCAGGAUGGAGCGGCUGGUGGCGAACCAGGCCUGCAGCCUGCAGUGCCCACCUGGAUGAGCCACAUCGCCAGCUCCCCC
rnacentral:lncRNA from 1 species